ensembl:lncRNA
AGUCCAAAAUCAGUGCUUACAGAAGAAGGAGGGCACAUGUCCUGUUCUGCUCUCUUGAAUCCUCCUCAGAAGAGCCCAUAGAAACACGGGAAGGCCCAAGGGGAAUCUCUUGCUGCUGGAAAUGACACUGCGUGGGACUCAGAGUCCAGAGAUGAAUGUGGCCAUGCACACAUAACACAAAUGAAGGAAAGUAAAGGUUGAGAGAGAUUAGUUUAUUCCCAAGUACAGUUCUAUCAAGCUUAAAUAUCAAUAAGACCAGGGUUAAACUAGGUGAUCCUUGUGCAUAUUUUUACCACAGGUAUCCUAGGUCUCUUUUUCAGAACAGUUUACAAGCAUUUAGGGCUAGCUAGACACCUUUAGGAGUCAAGGUCUCCAGCUGUAUUAAGCUUUAGGUAUGUGACAAAAAUUACUGAGGGCUUACAGAGUGCUAAUCACUGUACAGAUAUGAACUCAUUAAUCUGCCUAACAACUCUAGGAAUUAUUAUUGUCAUCAUCCUCAUAUCACAGAUGGAGAGACAGAAACACAGCCAGGUUAAGGGGCAAUGCCAGGACUGAACUCAAGCACUGGAUCUGGGGGCCGUGUUUUCAACUGCUAAUCUGCUGUCUCUUGUUACUGUACUGUGUGCAGACAGGGGCCCAGGGGACAGAAGCUGG